ensembl:lncRNA
CACACACACACACACACACACACACUGAGACACACAGGAGGAGGCCAGAGGAGAAUGGUGGGGGUGAUGGAGGAAAGGAUGAAAAAAAAACAGAGGGAGUGCCGGGCUCCCGGGGUCUCAGCUGCUGCUGGGGUGAUGCCUGCUCCUCGCAAUGAGUUGCAACUGUCAGUUUAUUUUAUCUCAGGCUUUUCAUCAUCGCACAGAGCCUGGUUGGAGGAAGCCACCUGAGAGUCUUAGGAAUUUGUUGGCUACAAGUCAUUAGCAGAGACUGCUGAGAUGCGCCCGGGCCAGAGAUGUGCGCGGGUUACUGCUGCAGACAAGUGUGUCCCUUUAACCCUUGAUAGGCUGAUUGGCACGGCAGCUUGGCUUUGAUGGCUGGAUAAUUGGCAUGCAGCCUAGAAGAAACAGGGCAGGUCAUAAAAGCUGAGCAGUGCACGUAAAAACAACGGAACGGAAAGAAGAAAGAAUCGCUGAAUACAUAUAGAUUGCAGAUAAAUCUCUUCAUGGAUGGUGAAUAGCGGGUAGUGGAUUGUAAGUAGUUAGGUGGGUGGUCAUAUUUCAAUUGCUUUGUCAUAAAUCUAGUAUGCAUAUUUUGUCCAAUCGCGUUAAAGGAAACCAUUCAAAAGGGAGAGAUGGGCUGAUUGUUAACGUCACACAGUGCUGCACGAGCUUAUCAAGACAUCUCGAGGAAGAAGCUCAAACCAAGCGUCCUUUCUCACUGCGUUUCUCACCUGGUCAAUGACGGAACGCAGCCCUUCAGGUGUCGAUGGAAAGGUGUGAGGAGAAAAGGUUUCAGACAUCCAACAAGCAGGCUCAGAAUGGCUUCCCGCCCCAUCUGAUUAGAAAAUAAACAGUCCCACACUUUAAAAAUAGCCUACCUGCAUAGUGGUACUGUGGGUCAUUAUCUCCCCCACAAGAAAGAACAAAAUUACCAGAGUUCAAUUUGUUGAUAUUAAUAUGUUGCUAUUGCUAUUAAUGUUAUUGAUAGCAAUGGGACACAGAGACGAGCACAGAAACGGCAAUUUAGUUGAAAUAAACCACAAUAAUCCUCAGAUAAAUGUAAUGGCAUCAACAGGUGGGCAGUAAAGAGCAGCACUGGCGUGUUCUGUGACAGCUGACUUCGGUGUUUGGAUCACUGAGCUCUUUCCACUUUGCUUGCAUGCCGGACAGAUUCCAGAUGUUUGGAUGUGACUAUGCGAUGGCACCGCCAGGACUCCCACAAGAACCCCCCCGUCCUGUGUUGUGUAGGCUACAGCACACCACGCGCCUUGCAGGUGCAAGACUGCAUACAACAGUCUACUGAGAGAGGUUGUUUUUUGUGCUUCUCAUAUGACAGGACAAUAAAAACUCCGAUAAGCCGACCGCACACUUUUCAAAACCAGCAACAGGACUGAAAAACAACAACAGCAGCAGCAGCAGCAGCAGCAACAACAGCCAGCAGCAUGAAAGCCCGCGAUACGGCCAGAAGUCGCUUUAUAUUACGGCCCCGGGCCGACUUCCGUCUUUGAGGGCCCCUCCCUCCCUUCACAGUAACAUUAACUCAAGGCUUCAAACAAAUAACGAACCGGGUGCCGUCCUUAUCAGUAAAUAUAUGUUGUCGUCUUUUUGUGCAAAGUUGCAGAGCCGGCAGUCUAGUAUCAUCAGCAUUAUUGAAUCAGUAUUGGAUUCAUUUUUAAAAUCCACUUCAGUAGCCUGCUCGCUCCCACCGAAUUCCCAACCAGCGUCAGUGUCCCCGCGUAUGACUGCGCGCAAGCGGAUGUUCUUCGCAACGCGAAGCCUCCGGAGUGGAGGGAGGAAAUGCUGUGUGAUUACCCAACAAACACAAACAGUGGUUGUAACCUUGAACAUACAGAAUUAUUCUUUGGAAUGGACGACGCGUGAGGAGGAGUAAAAUGUGAAAUUCCAGAGGGCGUCUUCGGGUGUGUGUCUAACCUUAGGAAAACACAGAGGCGUGAGUUUGAUGGAGUUAUUACACAUCUGCGGUUCCACCACUUGUGCGGCUGAAUCUAUUAUGGUGCGGCAGACGGGACUAACCUGAGAUUCUGUGGAGACGUUUCAUCACCUCCGUGUCACGGGUCAGGCAAUUGCAGCAGGGCCAGUGUUUGCUUUUCAUUACUAAAAUACAAACUUUAAGGACGUCUUUUUGUUUUUUUUAUAAGAGAACACUGUUUACUUUGGAAAUGAUUAGAGUGUUAUUAUUUCUGUUCUGCCUCGGAAAAUGUCUCAGGCAGGAGAGAGAGAGUUUUCUGUCUUGGCCAGCCGGCUUUUGUUCCGACAAUGAGCAGCCACUUUAUUGUGCUUAUGAGCAUUCAGGAAAAUAAUUAGCACGCGUUUGAGCAUCAGAGGCUCUGAGAUCUGCUCUCUGGAGCCUUAUUUCCUCUUAAUCUACGGUAGUAUGAAGGAAUAGGGAUGCACGGUACACUGUAUGGUGCGUGUCAUCACUCUCACGUUGGUUUAAAAAACGAUUUCAUCAUCAAAGUAAACACUUUUUUUGUGUUUUCAUGAGCCCAUUGUGAGCUCGGCGAUUGCGUUGCUUCUCAUUGUUGAAGCCACUUAGCCGACAUGUUCAUCUUUUACCUGCAGAAGGAGAGAGGGAUCGCUUCCAAGGUGUGACACAUAUCCAUCCUUGGGGGGGAUGAGACGCCGGUUAUUACUGCCGGUCGUCCCCUGCCAACUGUCCAAUUAUGUAUAUCACACUCGGCCUACUGUUUGCACUAGAAGUAAUCAAUAGAGGACGUGGCUGAGUGCUCGUACAUUUGGGUGGAACCAAAUGCAUGAAAACGUAAUCAUUCGCCCGGGCUGGUGGGGAAUCAAAUAUCGGUAGGGGAACAAGUAGGCAGUGGUUCUUCACUGGGGGGGGGAGAGGGGGGGGACUGAUUAGUGAUUGUAGCUUCAAGUUUGAUGGGGUGUGGUGGUGGGGGACAGUCGUGGUGGAGG